UAGUUGUGACAAAUCACAAGCGAACUAAUCAGAUUUUUCAUUAUUCGGUUAUGUAAUUGACACAGAACACUACUUUCCCAAUAAAAAUUUUCAGAGCUGCAUAACUUAAGUCCCGUUAUUCCUACGGUAGAGUGACCUACUCGUAGGGUAGCUGCGUGAGUGCGUGUCUACGUUGAUUGAUAUGUGUAUUAACAAUACGGAUGCAUUUGGUUUAGUGAGUAACUUUUAGAAUUAAUGUUUUAUUUGUAACUGAAUAUAAUGGAUGAUGGAAAACGAUGCAGGAAGCAUCAGAAUUCAGCAAAAGUCGCUAAGAAAAUGGGAAAAAGUAAAACACAACACCAGGAGGAACAACGUAAGGAAGGAACACAUCUUAAAGGGAGAAUAGAAAACUACGAUACUUUGAAACCCUGUAUGUCCGACAGAGAUGAGGGUGAUGGUGAAUCUGUGCCUGAUAGCCCCAGUGAAGAUAAAGUGUCACCUGUAGCAGAAAACGAUAAAAGCCAAAAAAAUUUUAAUGUCAGCAUAGAACUGGAUGUGAUGGCUGUAAUUUUGUUUGUUUGUGGUGUUGCUACACGAAUGUACAGGCUGGAAGAACCAAGGAGUAUAGUUUUUGAUGAGCUUCAUUAUGGGAAGUAUGUGAGCCUGUACAUGAAACGCAUUUUUUUCUUUGAUGCUCAUCCACCACUUGGAAAACAGCUAGUUGCUGUUGCAGCAUAUUUGGCUGGUUUUGAUGGAAACUUUAAGUUUGAUCGUAUUGGGCGAGAAUAUGAGGAUUCAGUACCUUUAUUUGCACUGAGAUUUGUACCUGCAUUGUGUGGCAGUCUCCUCAUGCCUGUCGUGUACCACCUGAUGAUUGAAAUGGGUGUGUCUCAUUGGACUGCAGCAUUAGCCGGCUUUUUGCUGUUGUGUGACAAUGCCUUACUGACACAGUCAAGGUUUAUCCUGAUGGAAUCAAUGCUGUUGCUGUUUGCUUUGUUUGGGCUUCUCUGUAUUCUGAAGUUUCGACACUACAGCACAGCCCCUUACUGUGUGCAAUGGUGGUUGUGGCUUGUUAUGGGUUCUGUCUCUCUCACAUGUGCCUUGUGUGUGAAGUAUGUGGGGUUCUUUUCAUGUUCUCUUGCAAUGGCAAUACUUGCACAAGAUUAUUGGAAGCUGCUUGGGAACAGGAAGCUGUCAGAUUCAGCAGUUGUGUUCCAGUUACUGGCCCGAUUAAUAGUCGUUAUUGGAGUGCCUGUGGCGAUAUAUCUUGGGAUAUUCUAUGCUCAUCUCUCAGUACUUACAUUAGCUGGACCACAUGACAGUGUAAUGUCAAGUGCCUUCCAGGCUAGUCUUGAGGGUGGCCUGGCAUCGAUAACCAGAGGACAGCCACUGGAAGUGGCACACGGUUCUCAGAUUACACUUCGUCACUCUCACGGAAGAACCUGCUGGCUGCACUCUCAUGCCCACGUGUAUCCAAUACGUUACCCAGACAAGCGUGGCAGCUCUCACCAGCAACAAGUUACUUGUUAUUCAUUCAAGGAUGUCAACAAUUGGUGGAUUGUAAAGCGUCCAUUAAGGAAUGACCUUGUGGUGUCACAGCCUGUAGAUGCCAUUCGACAUGGAGAUGUUAUUCAACUUGUCCAUGGAAUGACAAGUCGCGCUUUAAAUUCGCAUGAUGUUGCUGCUCCAAUGUCACCACAAAAUCAGGAAGUGAGCUGUUACAUCGAUUACAAUGUGUCUAUGCCUGCUCAGAACUUGUGGCGAGUAGAUAUUAUCAACAGAGAUCAAGUUGGGGAUGUCUGGCAUACGAUUGAGUCUCUAGUGCAUCUUAUCCAUGUGAAUUCGAGCCAAGCCUUGAAAUUUAGUGGACGUCAGUUACCAGACUGGGGCUUCAACCAACACGAAGUGGUCACAGACCGAGCCAUUCAUCAAGACGAUACUGUAUGGAAUGUCGAAGAACAUCGGUACACACAAACUGAGGAUCAGAAAGAUAGAGAGAGGGAACUCGUAAAUGCAGAAAUGAUACCUCUGCGAGCCACAACACUUUCCUUCUGGGAGAAGUUUCUCGAACUUCAAUACAAGAUGCUAUUCUCAGAUCAAGAAAAUGUUCAGAACCAUAUGUACAGCAGUGAACCACUUGAGUGGCCUUCGAUGACUAGAGGUAUCGCAUAUUGGGUGAGCCCGCACAGCAAUGUAAGUCCCUCUACAGGCUCAGGUGCAUCUACUUGGAAACCUUGUUGUGUGGUAUUCAGGCACUGUUAGUCUAUUACUUUAUGCCAUUUUCCUCUGUGUGUAUGUUUUACGAAGAAGACGUCAGUGCUAUGAUCUGAACAAAGAUGCGUGGCAUAAAUUUGUCACUAUUGGUGAAAUACUUCUUGUAGGUUAUCUGUUUCAUUAUAUACCAUUCUUCUUUGUGGAAAGGACACUUUUUCUGCAUCACUACUUACCUGCAUUUACCUUCAAAGUGCUAUUG
rnacentral:misc_RNA from 1 species